GGAAUUUCCGAGAUUUGGUUUCAGGUCCUACUUGAGAUUUCGUUCUUUUCUCUCUGUGUGUUUGUGUGUGUGUAGUUGUGUGAACUUAACACCUCCUCUCUAGCAGUGUUUAAGCGCUGGAUGAGGAGCUGAUUGCAGACUCUUGCAGCUGAACACAGAAAGUGCCUGUGGUCGUGCGAGUCUCCGUCAAUGCUGUAUUCAUUCUGUCUCAGAGGAGCAAGAUGGUGGCUGUACAAAAGGAUUACUGGUACUUCUUGGUACUCGUGAUGUUGCUCUGUUUUCUGAAAGGCUCAGUUCAGAUGAAAGCUCCAGAAUCAUCAGUCGUCCUGCAGGAGGGAAUGAUCCUGGACUGCUUGUGCCCAUGGACUGGCCAGCUCAUUAUGGUCUCCUGGACUAAAACACCUUUUGCAAAACCUAUAGCCGUUUAUCACCCUCAGUAUGGCACUAACUUUGGGUCGUCUUAUGAGGGAAGAGUGGAGUUUCUGAAGAGCACUGCAAUGGAUGGUAGCAUCUCCAUAAUGAACGUGACUGAAGGCGACAUCGGCCAGUAUCACUGCUCUCUGCAGACUUAUCCUCAGGGUUCAUGGACCAAGGACACCUUUGUCCAAAAAGCAGCAAUCACCACCUCCACCUCCAUCUCUAUCCAGGCGGACACUAAGUUGGUAGUUGCAGAGAACAACAACCUGACCAUUAUGUGUGACCUUGUCCACGAUGGUAAGAUUUACCAAGUCAGCAUAGAGAAGCUGGACACUGAGGAGGGCAACAGCAAUAUUAUAGCCACAUGUGAGAUGCUGGAGGACGGUGUGGAGCUGAGAAACUUCAGCAACAGAGGGCUACUGAACUGCAGUGAGGAUAUGGAGGUCAGUCUACAUCUCACCAACAUCAUUAAAGAAGAUGGAGGACUGUACCGCUGCAACUUCAGCACAAAUAAUGGUAUCCAGUCCACUACAGUCCUGCUGACAACUGUACCUGCUCAAGAUUUCCCAGGUCUUCAUCAUAUGCUGUAUGUGUAUAUUGGAGGAGGGGUGAUUGGUGUUGUUGCUCUGAUGACUUUGUUGCUGACGUGGUUGAACAGGAUGAAGAGGAAGAAAGAGGAGUACAGGAUCAAACUGCACCCUGCCAAGAGACAGCGUAACCCAUAUGACCAGAGCUGUGUGUAUGACAGGAUGAAAAAAGGCACCAGAACCCGAGCUAAAGAUAAAGAAAUAUACAUGAACUUUCAGAUAGUGAGAGCUCACGCUAAACACAAACGAUGACACUCUGCCAUCCAGAGCACUAAAAAAUAACUCAGAGAAAAGCAACAUCACUGCCAGCAAAUGCUUUUGCACCUGAAUACUAAUGCAUGGAUCAAGGGGAAUAGUUGCUAAUUAUGCGGAAGAUGAAUGCAUCUGUGUGCGUAAUUUGUCAUUUGAUGAAGCACUACCACCAUCAUCCUCAUCUUCAUCAUUGCAUUAACCAUUCAGGUCUGGCAUGAGCUCACUUUACAUGGCAUUUCAUUGCAUAAUGGUGCUGGAUUUUGGCUGCUCUUGACCACAUUGUGGCAAAUGUGAAGUUUGUUUGACAGAAAUGGAAAUACCAGCCUGAAGAGUGAAAAACCCUGGAGAUGAACCUUGGUGAACUGACAAUGCUCAGCUUUCAGGCGCGAUGUGAUUUGCUUUGUGAGACGUGACAGUUUAGAUGAUUUAAGUUGCUUGAGGAUGGAAGAUUAAACAUGGAAACAAUGAAUGAAACGAAUCACAUUUUUUGUUUACUCAUCUGUCACUGAUCUCACAAAUCAAUCUGUACAAAUCAAAAAUUAGGCCUGGUAGUCUAAAAAGAAAAUAUAUGAGACUUUGUUAUGCCUGAAUAAUGAUGUGCCUCAUAAACAAAAUUAACAGAC